UACAGCCACAUCACGUUGAUACACCGGCUCCCCUAUGAUCACAGAAGUUAAGCAACGACAGGCCUGGUCAGUACUUAGAUGGUUGGCCGCUUGGUAAUGCCAGAUGCCGUAC